rnacentral:rRNA from 1 species
GGCCAGUGAACUGGCAAGAGCUCAUAUUUGAAAGGCACUUUUGUGCCGUUGUAUUCUUCAGUUAGGGUCCUGAGAAACGAUGCUUAAGUCUUCUGGAAAGGAGCGCCACCCAGGGUGAUAGCCCCGUCUAGCAUUGACCUCAUAUUCGAUCUUAACUUGUUUUCGAGUUGUUUGGGAAUGCUUGUUUAUGGGUGGUAUGCUCCAUCUAAAGCUAUAUAUCUGCAAGAGACCGACCGUUAACAAGUACUGUGAGGGAAACAUGAAAAGAACUUUGAAAAGAGAGUGAAAAAGUACGUGAAAUUGUUGAAAUGGAAUGGUAGGCCGCUCACCAUGUAAAACCGUGUUUGGGGGGAAGAUAAAUGCUGUAUAAUGUAACUCCUCGGAGUAUUAUACAUGCAAUUCAUAUUCCCACCCGAGCGCGACGAUCUCACGUUCUACUCCCUGGUGGUCUACCACCCCUCUUGAAACACAGACCCAAA